GAGUGAAUUCAGUGCAGUGUGUUUACAGCUAAUUGAUCACAACCAGUUAUAGGUUUGUUUAUUCCUUCUCCACUCCAACUGCUUCACUUAACCAGUCUUUC
rnacentral:sRNA from 1 species